rnacentral:rRNA from 1 species
AUUGAACGCGGGCGGCAUGCCUUACACAUGCAAGUCGAACGGUAACAGGUCUUCGGACGCUGACGAGUGGCGAACGGGUGAGUAAUACAUCGGAACGUGCGCAGUCGUGGGGGAUAACUACUCGAAAGAGCAGCUAAUACCGCAUACGAUCUGAGGAUGAAAGCGGGGGACCUGCGGGCCUCGCGCGGUUGGAGCGGCGGAUGGCAGAUUAGGUAGGUGGUGGGAUAAAAGCUUACCAAGCCGACGAUCAGUAGCUGGUCUGGGAGGAGGACCAGCCACACUGGGACUGAGACACGGCCACGACUCCUACGGGAGGCAGCAGUGGGGAAUUUUGGACAAUGGGCGAAAGCCUGAUCCAGCAAUGCCGCGUGCAGGAUGAAGGCCUUCGGGUUGUAAACUGCUUUUGUACGGAACGAAAAAGCUCCUUCUAAUACAGGGGGCCCAUGACGGUACCGUAAGAAUAAGCACCGGCUAACUACGUGCCAGCCGCCGUAACAC